rfam:Leersia perrieri chromosome 4, whole genome shotgun sequence.
AUUGUUAUCGCUUCUCUAGGUUCAUGCUUAAGAGCUGGUUGUGGUUCUUGAGCUCUGGAAAGUGAAGCAAAAUGCUUAGUGGUUCCUCUCGCUAUCCGGGGCAGAAUUCUCUUUGAUGCCACUGGACGUCGAGGAAGUAUAUUU